AAUUAAGAGAGAAAAUCGAGCAAACCAAAAGAGAGUGAGAGAUGUGAGGCGGAGAGACCGUCUUUCUCGGUGUGAGCGAGGGAGACGAGAAAGUGGCUGAGUGAGGAUAGUAUGAGCUCCUCCUCUAUUGUAAUCUUUCUGUAAUUUCUCCAUUGUUAUAAUGAUAACUGGUUACUCUCUCGUGGACGUAGCCAUUGAGGCCAAACCACAUUAAAUAUGGUGUUUCCUUGAGUGUGAGUGUGAGUGUGUUUUACUGCUUGGUAUGAUUUCUAUAAGGUUUUGGGUGAGAUCCCCGAUCCCAUCAAUAUAUACCUUGUUGAAGAGGGUAUGGGUUGAAGAUUUGAAGGAACACAAAGCCAAAGUCUGCAAAUUCAGCUGAACAAUUAUGUCCAUCAAGCCCGGAAUAUUCCAAUAGUGCCCGCGAUUUGUAACAUCGCGCCUGCGAGAAAGUCGCGAUGAAAUCAAGCUCUCAGUAUCUUAGUUUAGUUCAUCUCUGUGCCCGCGAACAUGACAUCGCGCUUGCAAUAUAUAGGCAUGGCGACCACGAACUGGAAGCAACUAGGCCGCGACCAGGCCACAAGGAAAACAAGCUCUUAGUACUUUUCUCUGCAACCCGCAAAGGGGUCUCGCACCCGUAACCAGCAGUCUCGCACCCGCAACCAGCAGUCUUGCACCCGCGACCAAAAGUCUCGCACCUGCAAUGAUCUUAUGUCUAUAUAUACCAUGCUCGGUCGUGUUGUUAAUUAAUUCCUUGAGUCUGUAAUCUUUUAGUGUCUUUACUGAGAGAGUGCUGUAGUAAGGUUAAUUAUAUAUUUCUCUAAUGUUUACUUGACGAUUCAACUA